CUCCUGCCACCCAUGCUGGAGGCUGGAGCCUGCAGUAUUGCCUCGCCUCACUGUUGUGGUUGGUGGCAGUGACUGAGACUACAGCGCAACUGGAAAGGCUUUUCUGGCUUUGCCCUCCUAGCUGCUCAAUGCCAUGAGAAGGAAGAGCCAUCUGCUGCAUGCCGGAGGCUGGAGCCUGUGGCACCAUGGCUCACCUCGCUGCAGUGGGUGGCAGCAAUGGAGACUGCAGAGCGCCAGAGAGGUUGGCCUUGAACUCAUGGCCUCGCCUCCUCAAGCACCAGGACAACUGGCCAGAGCCACCAUGGCCCCCAAGGAAGUCUUUUUUAAAAAAAAUGCAGUUGUAAUGGCUGGAGUUCCAGCAGCCACUUUAGACCAUAACAUGGAAAUGAAGCAUUAAGGAUGGCAAAGCAAAAAGCUAAAAGCCUGAGACACGAUGACCAUGGGGCUGCCAUCCUACCCCAGGACUGUCUCCCUUCAGACAUCUUUUAUGUGAGAAAAGAAUAAAGCCACUAUUAUCUUUUGUUUUACUUACACAGCUGAACCAAAUUCUAAUGAAUCCAUAUAGGUUCAUCCUGAGCAGAUGAUGCUCAGAGCAAGAUGGAGCUCAGAGUGAUUGGAGCACUGAGCAAGAUGGAGCUCAGAGCAGAUGGAACUCUGAGCAAGAUGGAGCUCUGAGUAUAUGGAGCUUGGAGCAACAUGGAGCUUGGAGCAGAUGGAGCUCUGAGCAAGAUGGAGCUCUGAGUAGAUGGAGCUUGGAGCAAGAUAGAGCUCAGAGCAGAUGGAGCUCUGAGCAAGAUGGAGCUUGGAGCAGAUGGAGCUUGGAGCAGAUGGAGCUCUGAGCAACAUGGAGCUCUGAGCAGAUGGAGCUCGGAGCAAGAUGGAGCUCAGAGCAGAUGGAGCUUGGAGCAGAUGGAGCUCAGAGCAAGAUGGAGCUCGGAGCAAGAUAGAGCUCAGAGCAGAUGGAGCUCAGAGCAGAUGGAGCUCUGAG
rnacentral:lncRNA from 1 species